rfam:Flavobacterium sp. CF136 PMI10_contig169.169, whole genome shotgun sequence.
AAAAAGUGGAGCAAAUCCCACUUUAAAAAAACGAGGCGAAAACCAAAAGCCUUACGAAUAGUGAAUAU